rnacentral:rRNA from 1 species
AAGCGGUGGAGCAUGUGGUUAAUUCGACGCAACGCGAAGAACCUUACCUGGGCUUGACAUCCCGAUCGCACCUUAUGGAAACAUAGGGGUCAGUUCGGCUGGAUCGGUGACAGGUGCUGCAUGGCUGUCGUCAGCUCGUGUCGUGAGAUGUUGGGUUAAGUCCCGCAACGAGCGCAACCCUUGUCCUUAGUUGCCAGCAUUCAGUUGGGCACUCUAAGGAGACUGCCGGUGUCAAACCAGAGGAAGGUGGGGAUGACGUCAAGUCCUCAUGGCCCUUAUGUCCAGGGCUACACACGCGCUACAAUGGCCGGUACAAAGGGGCGCAAGACCGCGAGGCGGAGCAAAUCCGAAAAAGCCGGUCUCAGUUCGGAUUGCAGGCUGCAAUUCGCCUGCAUGAAGUCGGAAUCGCUAGUAAUCGCAGGUCAGCAUACUGCGGUGAAUACGUUCCCGGGCCUU